UUCCUGUUGGUCCAGUGGUUAGGACGCCAAGAUCUCACUGCCGAGGGCUCCAGGUUCGAUCCCUGGUCAGGGAA
rnacentral:tRNA from 1 species